GAUGAACGCUGGCGGCGUGCCUAACACAUGCAAGUCGAACGAGAAGCUAACCUUUGAUUCCUUCGGGAUGAUCAGGUUGGCAGAAAGUGGCGAACGGGUGAGUAACGCGUGGGUAAUCUACCCUAAAGUGGGGGAUAACCCUCCGAAAGGAGGGCUAAUACCGCAUAAUAUCUUCUCCUCUAAAGAGGUAAAGAUUAAAGGUGGCCUCUAUUUAUAAGCUAUCACUUUAGGAUGAGCCCGCGUCCUAUUAGUUAGUUGGUGGGGUAAUGGCCUACCAAGACCACAAUGGGUAGCCGGUCUGAGAGGAUGUACGGCCACACUGGGACUGAGAUACGGCCCAGACUCCUACGGGAGGCAGCAGUGGGGAAUAUUGCGCAAUGGGGGAAACCCUGACGCAGCGACGCCGCGUGGACGAUGAGGGCCUUCGGGUUGUAAAGUCCUGUUCUGGGGGAAGAAACCUUAAGGGUCCAAUAAACCCUUAAGCUGACGGUACC
rnacentral:rRNA from 1 species